rnacentral:misc_RNA from 1 species
GAUGAAGAACGUAGCGAAAUGCGAUAAGUAUUGUGAAUUGCAGAAUUCAGUGAAUCAUCGAAUCUUUGAACGCACAUUGCGCCCCUCGGUAUUCCGGGGGGCAUGCCUGUUCGAGCGUCAUUAUCGACCAUCAAGCACCGCUUGGCAUUGGGCCUCCGUCCCCGCAGUGGACGGGCCCUAAAGACCUCGGCGGCGGCGCAGUGGCCUCAAGCGUAGUAGAAAUAUCCCGCUUUACAGAGGCCUCGCGACGCCCGCUCCGAAAACCCAUCACCUCAAAGGUUGACCUCGGAUCAGGUAGGGAUACCCGCUGAACUUAAGCAUAUCAAUAAGCGGAGGA